AAAUCUUCCAAUAGUUCCAUGACGUCAUGGGGUCCCCCUCCCCCUGCUGGAACCCGGGUGAGGGGCGCCUCCCGGGGAGAGCGCAAGGAGGACGGCGGUCCCUGUGCGCACCAUUGGCCAUCGCUAACCUAGGACCGGGCUGGCAGGCUCGCCUCUGAGCCGAGGCUGCGCUGCAGCGGAACCCAGUGUCUAAGAGUUCCCAUUUCUGCUUCUCCCAUCGUGGGGUGCGAUAUUCCCCAUCGUGGUGUGGGAGCCCCACAGCACAGAGCAGGUAAAAGAAAUGAAGCAGCUCCGGCAACGUCACCACGGAGCGAUCCCAAGAACUAAUGCAUUUCUCAGCGGACCUGCCCAGCCACCUCAGCUGAGAGCGGACCAGGUGGUCUCACAUUCAGUGAAGGAGGAAGAAACAGUGCGUCCAUGCUGAAAAAUUCGCCAAAGUUCUAGCGCUUGUUAGGUCAAUCUCUAUUUAUUGUGUUCUCAGCUAAACUCCUUCCAGGAUGCCUAACAUCUCCUGUCUUACAAGUUUCCAGCAACGAAAUCUCGGUCAAGUUACUUAAUGUAUCUGAGCCUCAGUUUCCUCAUUUAACAAAAUAUGAUGAUACUUGCCUCACUGGGUUAUUGUAUCAAAUGAGGACACAUUACAGUAGGCAGUCAGAGCCUGGGAUUUUUUUUUUCCUCUUCCCUUGUUGCUCUUCUCUCUCUUCUGUUUAUCUUUCUAAACCUCCGUGCCUCAGCUUGCUUUCUGUGACGAGGGGAUAAGAAUACCUGGCCUACUUAGCUCACUGCUUGUUGUGUGACUCUGGAAUAAAGGCUGUGGUAGGGCUUUGGAAACGAUGACAGGUAGUAUAAAUACCUGUGUGGGGUUCUUCUCGGGAUCUCUGACCUUGAACUGAUGAGUGUGCUGGUCCUUCCAGGCCUGGGCUGUUGUGUGCAGUGGCCACAUGUAGAAGGUCACUUAACAUACCUUCUCUUACUGCUCUUCCUGAGGCCCCUGAUGCUCUCACAUCUACCUGUGGUGCCCUGUAGCCUCCCAACACCCGUCUCUCACACGCUUCCCCCUUCUGUCUCUUUCGCCUCCUCUGGAUCACAAGACCCAGGACUGUCCACCCACUGCUCCCUGGAUACAAAACGACGCCUGCCCCCAAUCCUCGGGCUGUCAGAAGCUGCCUGUCAUAUGAGCCC